AUUGAACGCUGGCGGCAUGCCUUACACAUGCAAGUCGAACGGCAGCACGGGAGCAAUCCUGGUGGCGAGUGGCGAACGGGUGAGUAAUAUAUCGGAACGUGCUCAGUCGUGGGGGAUAACGCAACGAAAGCUGUGCUAAUACCGCAUACGAUCUACGGAUGAAAGCGGGGGAUCGCAAGAACUCGCGCGAUUGGAGCGGCCGAUAUCAGAUUAGCUAGUUGGUGGGGUAAAAGCCCGACAAGGCGACGAGCUGUAGCUGGUCUGAGAGGGCGACCAGCCACACUGGAACUGAGACACGGUCCAGACUCCGACGGGAGGCAGCAGUGGGGAAUUUUGGACAAUGGGCGCAAGCCUGAUCCAGCAAUGCCGCGUGCAGGAUGAAGGCCUUCGGGUUGUAAACUGCUUUUGUACGGAACGAAACGGCGAGCUCUAAUACAGUUUGCUAAUGACGGUACCGUAAGAAUAAGCACCGGCUAACUACGUGCCAGCCGCCGCCGUAA
rnacentral:rRNA from 1 species